GCCUGGCUGGUUCAGUCAGUAGAGCAUGUGACUUUUGAUCUUGUGGGUUCAAGUCCCAUGUUGGGUG
rnacentral:tRNA from 1 species